GACGAACGCUGGCGGCGUGCUUAACACAUGCAAGUCGAACGGAAAGGCCCUGCUUUUGUGGGGUGCUCGAGUGGCGAACGGGUGAGUAACACGUGAGUAACCUCCCCCUGACUUUGGGAUAACAUCAGGAAAAUGGGGCUAAAACCGGAUAGGAGCUCCUGAUGCAUGGUGGGGGAUGGAAAGAUUCGGCGGUUGGGGAUGGACUGGCGGCUUAUCAGCUUGUUGGUGAGGUAGUGACGUACCAAGGGUAUGACGGGUAGCCGGCAUGGGAGGGGGGCCGGGCACAUUGGUACUGAGAGAGGGCCCAGAAGCGUACGUGAGGCAGCGGGGGAGAGUAUUGCAGAACGAGCGGGAGUGUGUUGCAGCGACGCUGGGAGCGUGAUGACGGGUUACGGGGUGUGAACCGAUGUGUACGGAGACGAGGAGAGAGUGACGGUAAUUGGUAAAGAAGCACCGGCUAACUACGUG
rnacentral:rRNA from 1 species